rnacentral:rRNA from 1 species
UACGUAGGGUGCGAGCGUUGUCCGGAAUUAUUGGGCGUAAAGAGCUCGUAGGCGGUUUGUCGCGUCUGCUGUGAAAUCCCAGGGCUUAACCCUGGGCCUGCAGUGGGUACGGGCAAACUAGAGUGCGGUAGGGGAGAUCGGAAUUCCUGGUGUAGCGGUGAAAUGCGCAGAUAUCAGGAGGAACACCGGUGGCGAAGGCGGAUCUCUGGGCCGUAACUGACGCUGAGGAGCGAAAGCACGGGUAGCGAACAGG